rnacentral:rRNA from 1 species
AUUGAACGCUGGCGGCAGGCCUAACACAUGCAAGUCGAGCGGAUGACGGGAGCUUGCUCCUUGAUUCAGCGGCGGACGGGUGAGUAAUGCCUAGGAAUCUGCCUGGUAGUGGGGGACAACGUUUCGAAAGGAACGCUAAUACCGCAUACGUCCUACGGGAGAAAGCAGGGGACCCUCGGGCCUUGCGCUAUCAGAUGAGCCUAGGUCGGAUUAGCUAGGAGGUGAGGUAAUGGCUCACCUAGGCGACGAUCCGUAACUGGUCUGAGAGGAUGAUCAGUCACACUGGAACUGAGACACGGUCCAGACUCCUACGGGAGGCAGCAGUGGGGAAUAUUGGACAAUGGGCGAAAGCCUGAUCCAGCCAUGCCGCGUGUGUGAAGAAGGUCUUCGGAUUGUAAAGCACUUUAAGUUGGGAGGAAGGGCAGUAAGCUAAUACCUUGCUGUUUUGACGUUACCGACAGAAUAAGCACCGGCUAACUCUGUGCCAGCAGCCGCCGUAAAAC